GGGCCCUAGCUCAAUGGUAGAAAAUUUGCCUUGCAUUCAGAAAGUCCCAGGUUCACUUCCUGGCAUCUCCA